CCUACGGGUGGCAGCAGUGAGGAAUAUUGGUCAAUGGGCGCGAGCCUGAACCAGCCAAGUCGCGUGAGGGAAGACGGUCCUAUGGAUUGUAAACCUCUUUUGUCGGGGAGCAAAAGACGCCACGCGUGGCGUUCCGAGAGUACCCGAAGAAUAAGCAUCGGCUAACUCCGUGCCAGCAGCCGCGGUAAUACGGAGGAUGCGAGCGUUAUCCGGAUUUAUUGGGUUUAAAGGGGGCGUAGGCCGCAUGUCAAGCGUGCGGUGAAAUGUCCGGGCUCAACCCGAGCCUUGCCGCGCGAACUGGUGUGCUUGAGUCCGCGGAAGGCAGGCGGAAUUCGUGGUGUAGCGGUGAAAUGCUUAGAUAUGACGCAGAACCCCGAUUGCGAAGGCAGCUUGCUAAAGCGGAACUGACGCUGAUGCUCGAAAGCGCGGGUAUCGAACAGGAUUAGAUACCCUUGUAGUC
rnacentral:rRNA from 1 species